ensembl:lncRNA
AAGAACUCAAUGGGCUCCAACAGAACUCAACGGGCUCCAGCAGAACUCAAUGGGCUCCAAAAGAACUCAAUGGGCUCCAAAAGAACUCAAUGGGCUCCAAAAGAACUCAAUGGGCUCCAACAGAACUCAAUGGGCUCCAAAAGAACUCAAUGGGCUCCAAAAGAACUCAAUGGGAUCAAUCCAACAGAACUCAAUAGAACUGCUCCAGAACCACACCUUUUGUGUGUGUACAAGGUAUGUGGUUGAUGUUUUCGUAUUCAUUGUCUUGUUAAAUACCAUCGUUAGAGACCGUGUCAGUUAUCACAGUGACUUCACAAUACAAGCAGUUCAUUUGUCUUGACUUUGAAUUGCUUUUCUUUGUUUUAAAUAAUGUUUUUAUUCUAAAUGUACAAUAUUAACACAUUUUAUCCAAUACAUCCCAGAUCCUCCAAAGGAGAAAUCGACGUUAAAUCGACUAUAUAUAUAUAUUUUAUAUAUCAUUAUUUUGCCACACCUCCCCCACCUUAUAUAUAUCUAUACGCUCUUCACUUCACAUAUCCACCUUAUAUAUAUAUAUAUAUAUAUAUAUACACUUUAUUUUAGACAUCAAUAUUCUCCAAUACGCUCCUUCACGGGGGGUAGAUGGGUCUGUCUGAGGAGGGAAUCGGAGGGUGGUCCGGUGGGGAGGAAGUGUUAGGGGGCGGUAACGACGGGGUGAGCUUGAGCUGGGGGGGGGUACAGGAGCAUUGCAGGGGCGACAGCAGCUUCGCCAACCACACCCCCCAAAAAAAGGGACAUUCAGCAGUCAUAAUCCAAUACCUACACGGUAAUGUAACCAUACCACAUUAUAUUUACACCGUUCUGUACCUCCCUCACUCUCCUUUCAACAUUCUGUAAACCCCUCACCUGAGGAUUCUCUUCCUGUUCCGGGAACCGCAAUAUCAUCACUUUACACCCCAGCUUCCUUAAAUCACUCUUUAACUUGGCCUGGUCCUUUACCAGUUUUAAUACACCCACCUUCUCAUUUCACUCUGUUCAUCAGCAACAGCAGACCCAUAGGUGGUGGUGGUGGGGGGCAUGUUGAGGGGUGGAGAUGAAAGGAAAAGGAGAGCGAGGAAAGGUAAUUUGGGAGAGAGAGAGAGAUGGUGAAAAGUUAAGUGGGAGAGAGAGAGAGAGAUGGUGAAAAGUUAAGUGGGAGAGAGAGAGAGAUGGUGAAAAGUUAAGUGGGAGAGAGAGAGAGAUGGUGAAAAGUUAGUGGGAGAGAGAGAGAGAGAUGGUGAAAAGUUAAGUGGGAGAGAGAGAGAGAUGGUGAAAAGUUAAGUGGGAGAGAGAGAGAGAUGGUGAAAAGUUAAGUGGGAGAGAGAGAGAGAGAGAGGUUGAUUUUGGAUCAUUUGAGAUCCAUGAUCAUAAAGUGUACGUUGUUGGUGUGUACAGUAACUGCUAGUCUCUCUGUAAAGUCACAUGAUCAUGGCAAAGUGCUGUUGCCAUGGGAUCAAAAUGCCCACCCAGACCAGAGACAGACAGGGAAGUGGACCUAUGAGAGUAGAGCAUCGCACAGACUGACCAUCCUAUUGGCUAUACCUGACACACAGGAGGCUGUGGAAACUGACAGUGAACCCUGAGAAGCCGGUCAGCCGUUUGGCUGACACCUACAGAGGGCCAUGAUUUAAACCAAAUGUUUAGUGCUGGGUUGGAACAAAAGCCUGCACUGGCCAACUUGGAUAUGAUAGAGAAGAGCCUCUUCUCUUCUCUUUUCAGAGGGCCAUGAUUUAAAACAAAUGUUUAGUGCUGGGUUGGAACAAAAGCCUGCACUGGCCAACAUAGAUAUGAUAGAGAAGAGCCUCUUCUCUUUGGCAUCUCUACAUGAGUGUAUUUCCAUCACCACCACUCAGUUUAGUUCAAGCAUAAACUCAAUAACACACUUCAUCACAGUCUUGUCUGCAUCUCAAAUUGCACCCUAUUCAUUCCCCCAUUUAGUGCACUACUUUUGACCAAGGGCUCUGAUCAAAACUAGUGCACUACUUUUAGUGCACUACUUUUGAACAAGGGCUCUGAUCAAAACUAGUGCACUACUUUUAGUGCACUGCUUUUAGUGCACUACUUUUGACCAAGGGCUCUGAUCAAAACUAGUGCACUACUUUUAGUGCACUGCUUUUAGUGCACUACUUUUGACCAAGGGCUCUGAUCAAAACUAGUGCACUACUUUUAGUGCACUACUUUUGAACAAGGGCUCUGAUCAAAACUAGUGCACUACUUUUAGUGCACUGCUUUUAGUGCACUACUUUUGACCAAGGGCUCUGAUCAAAACUAGUGCACUACUUUUAGUGCACUGCUUUUAGUGCACUACUUUUGACCAAGGGCUCUGAUCAAAACUAGUGCACUACUUUUAGUGCACUGCUUUUAGUGCACUACUUUUGACCAAGGGCUCUGAUCAAAACUAGUGCACUACUUUUAGUGCACUGCUUUUAGUGCACUACUUUUGACCAAGGGCUCUGAUCAAAACGAGUGCACUACUUUUAGUGCACUGCUUUUAGUGCACUACUUUUGACCAAGGGCUCUGAUCAAAACUAGUGUGCACCAGUAAAACUACUCUCUAUUAAACACAUAUUCUGAUAUCAUGUUUGUUCUGUGUCUCCUUCCUCGACUGACUGACAACCUGUCUACAACGUUCCUCUUCCGGUGUCUCCUUCCUCGACUGACUGACAACCUGUCUACAACGUUCCUC